AGAAAACUCUUUAAUAACCCCGAGAGACUUGAGACUUGUCUUGGACUCUAGCUCAAAGACUUGUGAGCAUCUCUGACACACACACACACACACACACACACAC